GAUGAACGCUGGCGGCGUGCCUAACACAUGCAAGUCGAACGAAGCACUGUUAACAGAGAUUCGUCGAAGUUAACUUUGACUUAGUGGCGGACGGGUGAGUAAUGUAUGAGCAACCUGCCUUUCAGAGGGGGACAACAGUUGGAAACGACUGCUAAUACCGCAUAACGUAUUCGGACCGCAUGAUCUGAAUACCAAAGCUUUAUGUGCUGAAAGAUGGCCUCGCGUCUGAUUAGCUAGUUGGUGGGGUAACGGCCCACCAAGGCGACGAUCAGUAGCCGGUCUGAGAGGAUGAACGGCCACAUUGGGACUGAGAUACGGCCCAGACUCCUACGGGAGGCAGCAGUGGGGAAUAUUGGGCAAUGGGGGAAACCCUGACCCAGCAACGCCGCGUGAAGGAAGAAGGCCUUCGGGUUGUAAACUUCUUUUACCAGGGACGAAGAACGUGACGGUACCUGGAGAAAAAGCAACGGCUAACUACGUG
rnacentral:rRNA from 1 species